rnacentral:rRNA from 1 species
UACGUAGGGUGCAAGCGUUAUCCGGAAUUAUUGGGCGUAAAGAGCUCGUAGGCGGUUUGUCGCGUCUGCUGUGAAAACGCGAGGCUCAACCUCGCGCCUGCAGUGGGUACGGGCAGACUAGAGUGCGGUAGGGGAGAUUGGAAUUCCUGGUGUAGCGGUGGAAUGCGCAGAUAUCAGGAGGAACACCCGUGGCGAAGGCGGCUCUCUGGUACGUGACUGACGCUGAGACGCGAAAGCGUGGGGAGCGAACAGG